rnacentral:rRNA from 1 species
GUAGCGGUGAAAUGCGUAGAGAUUAGGAAGAACACCAGUGGCGAAGGCGACUUUCUGGACCGUAACUGACGCUGAGAUACGAAAGCGUGGGGAGCAAACAGGAUUAGAUACCCUGGUAGUCCACGCCGUAAACCGAUGAAUACUAGGUGUCGGGGGGUACCGCCCUCGGUGCCGCAGCAAACGCAAUAAGUAUUCCGCCUGGGGAGUACGGUCGCAAGAUUAAAACUCAAAGGAAUUGACGGGGACCCGCACAAGCAGCGGAGCAUGUGGUUUAAUUCGAAGCAACGCGAAGAACCUUACCUAGACUUGACAUCUCCUGAAUUACUCGUAACAGAGGAAGCCCUUCGGGGCAGGAAGACAGGUGGUGCAUGGUUGUCGUCAGCUCGUGUCGUGAGAUGUUGGGUUAAGUCCCGCAACGAGCGCAACCCUUAUCGUUAGUUGCUACCAUUAAGUUGAGCACUCUAGCGAGACUGCCUGGGUUAACCAGGAGGAAGGUGGGGAUGACGUCAAAUCAUCAUGCCCCUUAUGUCUAGGGCUACACACGUGCUACAAUGGCCGGUACAACGAGAAGCAAACCCGUGAGGGGGAGCCAAACUAAAAAACCGGUCCCAGUUCGGAUUGUAGGCUGAAACUCGCCUACAUGAAGUUGGAGUUGCUAGUAAUCGCGAAUCAGAAUGUCGCGGUGAAUACGUUCCCGGGUCUUGUACACACCGCCCGUCACACCAUGAGAGCCGGUAACACCCGAAGCCUGUGAGGUAACCGCAAGGAGCCAGCAGUCGAAGGUGGGAUUGGUGAUUGGGGUGAAGUCGUAACAAGGUAGCCG